GAUUUAUUUAGUAAUAAAGUGUUAACGUUGUAAAGUUAUAUUUUUAUUAUUAAAUGGUAAUGAAAUGUUUUUCGGUUUUUGUGGUAGCUAGUUUAUUAAUGAAGGCAUUUUAGUGCUUUAAUAUUAAUUUAUUAUAAUAAUUAAUAUUAUUAAUUUUAUAGGGGAUAAGCUCUAUAUAAGUUUAAUAGAAUAUUUUGGUUAUUAAUAAUUAUAAGUAGAAUUAAAAUUGUUUAUCUUGUAUAAUUUUAUAUAAAAAUUAUUUUUAUAAUUUCAGGUUAGGUUGAAAUUAAUAAAUGUAUUAUUAAUUUUGAGUAAUUAAAUAUAAUGUUAGUAUGAGUAUUAAUUAAAUUAUAAUAUAUUUUUAGAUCUAAAAAUGUAGGUGAGAAUAUAUAUUUUAAUUAAAUAAAAUAAAAAAAAGGAAUUCGGCAAAUAUAAAUCUCGCCUGUUUAUCAAAAACAUGUCUCUUUGUAUUGAUUAAAUAAAGAG
rnacentral:rRNA from 1 species